rnacentral:misc_RNA from 1 species
GCUGGAGAAGGACAUCCGCGGCGCCAUGAAGGACGGCGGCGCUGGCUGGUGCUGAUGAUGGUGCUCUGGGUUGUACAUGUCAACACAUGCCAUGCAUCGCCACACGACGCACAAGCGCGCUGGUUUCUUUUGUUCCUCUCCCUAGCUCCCACCUCUCUGAGCUCUUACGCCCGUCGUUGUUACUUAUCAAGCUAUGAGAUCAAGACCGGAGUUAGGUGCGGCCGGCCGGCCCAGUGGCCACCUCCAAGGGUGGAAUGGGGUUGUGGGAAGCAGCCUGCGGGUGCUGGAACCCUCUCGCACCGCGCGCCUGGACUCGAUCUAGG